rnacentral:rRNA from 1 species
UGGGGAAUAUUGGACAAUGGGCGCAAGCCUGAUCCAGCCAUGCCGCGUGUGUGAAGAAGGCCUUUUGGUUGUAAAGCACUUUAAGCGAGGAGGAGGCUACUUGGAUUAAUACUCUAAGAUAGUGGACGUUACUCGCAGAAUAAGCACCGGCUAACUCUGUGCCAGCAGCCGCGGUAAUACAGAGGGUGCGAGCGUUAAUCGGAUUUACUGGGCGUAAAGCGUGCGUAGGCGGCUUCUUAAGUCGGAUGUGAAAUCCCUGAGCUUAACUUAGGAAUUGCAUUCGAUACUGGGAAGCUAGAGUAUGGGAGAGGAUGGUAGAAUUCCAGGUGUAGCGGUGAAAUGCGUAGAGAUCUGGAGGAAUACCGAUGGCGAAGGCAGCCAUCUGCCUAAUACUGACGCUGAGGUACGAAAGCAUGGGGAGCAAACAGG